rnacentral:rRNA from 1 species
UUAAGGUGAAACCGCGAAAGGCUCAUUAAAUCAGUUAUGGUUCCUUAGAUCGUACCCACAAUUACUUGGAUAACUGUGGUAAUUCUAGAGCUAAUACAUGCAAACAGAGCUCCGACCGGAGACGGAAGGAGUGCUUUUAUUAGAUCAAAACCAAUCGGUGGCGGGUUCGCCCGUUAUCGUACAACUUGGUGACUCUGAAUAACUUUACGCUGAUCGCACGGUCAUCGCACCGGCGACGCAUCUUUCAAAUGUCUGCCUUAUCAACUGUCGAUGGUAGGUUCUGCGCCUACCAUGGUUGUAACGGGUAACGGGGAAUCAGGGUUCGAUUCCGGAGAGGGAGCCUGAGAAACGGCUACCACAUCCAAGGAAGGCAGCAGGCGCGCAAAUUACCCACUCCCGGCACGGGGAGGUAGUGACGAAAAAUAACGAUACGGGACUCAUCCGAGGCCCCGUAAUCGGAAUGAGUACACUCUA